GGGCCCGCACAAGCGGUGGAUUAUGUGGUUUAAUUCGAAGCAACGCGCAGAACCUUACCUAGGCUUGAAAUCCUCAGAAUUCGACGUAAUGGUCGAAGUGCCCGCAAGGGAAUUGAGUGACAGGUGCUGCAUGGCUGUCGUCAGCUCGUGUUGUGAAAUGUUGGGUUAAGUCUCGCAACGAGCGCAACCCCUAUCUUUAGUUGCCAGCAUUAAGUUGGGCACUCUAGAGAGACUGCCCGGGUUAACCGGGAGGAAGGUGGGGAUGACGUCAAGUCCUCAUGGCCCUUAUGCCUAGGGCUACACACGUAAUACAAUGGUGCAUACAAUGGGAAGCGACCCGGCGACGGUAAGCAAA
rnacentral:rRNA from 1 species